UCUGAUUUGGUUGGUCCACUGUCGAUGUCGAGAGGGAGUUUCAUCUUAGCCAAUGACUCGGUAAAUUGCUGCAUGCUUUUCAUGUACAUGUCCACGAUAUCCUGCUGCACCAUCUUCUGCUCGGGCUCAAUGUUGACAGAAACAACAGGUUUUGCAAUGGAAUCACUUUGUGCCCCAGAAGAAUCACUCUCACCAUCUCCGACAUCUGCAGUUUUCUCUUUCGGGGCUGAAUUGUGUUCCUGAGGAGAGGUUUUGGAAGCAGUUGGACCAUCAGAGGACUCAGAGCUUGCAGCAGCUGAUGGAGAUGAUACCCCAUUAGUUGACACACUGCUUGGAGGAGAAUCAAGCUUGGGAACUUGGAUGGAAUUGACAGUAGCAGUUGAGAAGCUUUCCACUAC
rnacentral:lncRNA from 1 species